AGAGUUUGAUCCUGGCUCAGAAUCAACGCUGGCGGCGUGCCUAACACAUGCAAGUCGAACGAGAAAGUGGAGCAAUCCAUGAGUAAAGUGGCGCACGGGUGAGUAACACGUGACUAACCUACCUUUUAGUGGGGGAUAACUUAGGGAAACCUGGGCUAAUACCGCAUAACACCUACGGGUCAAAGCAGCAAUGCGCUGGAAGAGGGGGUCGCGGUCGAUUAGUUAGUUGGCAGGGUAAUGGCCUACCAAGACUGUGAUCGAUAUCCGGCCUGAGAGGGCGCACGGACACACUGGAACUGAAACACGGUCCAGACUCCUACGGGAGGCAGCAGUGGGGAAUUUUGCGCAAUGGGGGAAACCCUGACGCAGCAACGCCGCGUGGAGGAUGAAGUCCCUUGGGACGUAGACUCCUUUCGAUCGGGACGAUUAUGACGGUACCGGAAGAAGAAGCCCCGGCUAACUUCGUGCCAGCAGCCGCGGUAAUACGAGGGGGGCAAGCGUUGUUCGGAAUUAUUGGGCGUAAAGGGUGCGUAGGCGGUUCGGCAAGUCUUGUGUGAAAUCUUCAGGCUCAACUUGAAGUCUGCACAAGAAACUGCCGGGCUUGAGUAUGGGAGAGGUGAGUGGAAUUUCCGGUGUAGCGGUGAGAUGCGUAGAUAUCGGAAGGAACACCUGUGGCGAAAGCGGCUCACUGGACCAUUACUGACGCUGAUGCACGAAAGCUAGGGGAGCAAACAGGAUUAGAUACCCUGGUAGUCCUAGCCCUAAACGAUGAUCGCUUGGUGUGGCGGGUAUCCAACCCUGCCGUGCCGCAGCUAACGCGUUAAGCGAUCCGCCUGGGGAGUACGGUCGCAAGGCUGAACUCAAAGGAAUUGACGGGGGCCCGCACAAGCGUGAGCAUGUGGUUUAAUUCGACGCACGCGAAGAACCUUACCUGGGCUCGAAUGUAGUGGACUGGGGUAGGAU
rnacentral:rRNA from 1 species